GAGUUUGAUCCUGGCUCAGGAUGAACGCUAGCGGCAGGCCUAACACAUGCAAGUCGAGGGGUAAUUUUGAUAGCAAUAUUGAAAACGACCGGCGCACGGGUGAGUAUCGCGUUUGCAACCUACCUCUGACCGGGGCAUAGCCCGGAGAAAUUCGGAUUAAUUUCCCAUAAUACCAUGAGAAGGCAUCUUUUCAUGUUUAAAGCUCAGGCGGUCAGAGAUGGGCAUGCGUACCAUUAGCUUGUUGGUGAGGUAACGGCUCACCAAGGCUACGAUGGUUAGGGGGUCUGAGAGGAUGAUCCCCCACACUGGUACUGAGACACGGACCAGACUCCUACGGGAGGCAGCAGUGAGGAAUAUUGGGCAAUGGGCGCAAGCCUGACCCAGCCAUGCCGCGUGCAGGAUGACGGCGCUAUGCGUUGUAAACUGCUUUUGUUCGGGAAGAAAUCCAUCUACGUGUAGGUGGUUGACGGUACCGAAUGAAUAAGCAUCGGCUAACUCCGUGCCAGCAGCCGCGGUAAUACGGAGGAUGCAAGCGUUAUCCGGAUUCAUUGGGUUUAAAGGGUGCGUAGGCGGAGUACUAAGUCAGCGAUGAAAUCCUGCAGCUUAACUGUAGAACUGUCAUUGAUACUGGUAUUCUUGAAUGCAGUUGAAGUAGGCGGAAUGUGUAGUGUAGCGGUGAAAUGCUUAGAUAUUACACAGAACACCGAUUGCGAAGGCAGCUUACUAAACUGUGAUUGACGCUGAGGCACGAAAGCGUGGGGAGCAAACAGGAUUAGAUACCCUGGUAGUCUACGCCGUAAACUAUGAUUACUCGCUGUUGGCGAUAUAUUGUCAGUGGCUGAGCGAAAGCAUUAAGUAAUCCACCUGGGGAGUACGAUCGCAAGGUUGAAACUCAAAGGAAUUGACGGGGGCCCGCACAAGCGGAGGAACAUGUGGUUUAAUUCGAUGAUACGCGAGGAACCUUACCUGGGCUUAAAUGUAGAGCGACAGACUGGGAAACCGGUCCUUCUUCGGACGAUCUACAAGGUGCUGCAUGGUUGUCGUCAGCUCGUGCCGUGAGGUGUCGGGUUAAGUCCCAUAACGAGCGCAACCCUUAUCGUUAGUUGCCAGCGGGUAAUGCCGGGGACUCUAGCGAAACUGCCGGUGUAAACCGUGAGGAAGGUGGGGAUGACGUCAAAUCAGCACGGCCCUUAUGUCCAGGGCGACACACGUGUUACAAUGGCCGGUACAGAGGGCAGCUACCUGGUAACAGGAUGCAAAUCUCUAAAACCGGUCUCAGUUCGGAUCGAAGUCUGCAACUCGACUUCGUGAAGCUGGAUUCGCUAGUAAUCGCGCAUCAGCCAUGGCGCGGUGAAUACGUUCCCGGGCCUUGUACACACCGCCCGUCAAGCCAUGGAAGCCGGGGGUACCUGAAGUCCGUAACCGCAAGGAGCGGCCUAGGGUAAAACUGGUGACUGGGGCUAAGUCGUAACAAGGUAGCCGUACCGGAAGGUGUGGCCUGGAUCACCUCCUUUCU
rnacentral:rRNA from 1 species